UCCUCAUCACAUUCUCUAUUCAUGCCUUGUCUUCUGCCUAGUUCUAGUUACAUUCUGUUCUUCCGUUCUGUAUCCAUUUCUUCUAUGUGUGUGUAUCUUUCUGCUGGCAUGUGCACAUUCACAAACCACCCAUCACUCACAUGAAUGUGUUUUCCCGUGGCUAACCUAUGCAGUGUGCUUUUUCUGUGAAGUCCUAUCUUGAGAAAAGAAGCCAGUGUGAGAACAGCUAGGUCCUUCCAAGAACAGUACAAGGUCCUCCCAAGAUCUGAAGAGAGGGAGUUAACCUGCCAGGGAGAUUUCAGGCAGUGAUCACUUCUCAAGGGAGCAGAAAGCCAGAAAACUGCAAUGAGCAAAGGAUCUGAAGUAUCGGUGGCUGGUGAGCAGUGUUAGUCUGUGUGGGCUGGAGUGAGUCUUUAAGGGGGCUUAGCUUGGAUUUUGGGAAGGUGUGAGCCAGGAAGUGGGUACUCUGAAAUGGUAUGGGGAGCCAGUCUUUCAUGCUUGGAUCAAGGAUGGCUUUUAUUUUGCAUCCUGAAACAAAGGCUUCAUGUCAUACAACAGGGAAAAUAGGUGAAAACAUUGCAGCCUCGAGUACACUGUUCAUGUGAUUUCUACUGCUGUAUCCUUAUGCAUUUCUUGGCUUCCUGUCAUUCGUAUCUCAGUCACGUAUUUCACUGACACUGAGUCUUACCUGUUGAGAAAGACUAGAGGCAUCCUUAAGCCGUGAACUGGUUUAGAACUGAUUUCAUGUAUAGUUGCCCUUCCUAAUACAGCUGCAGUGACAUUUUCCUCUUCAUAUAGGUGUCUGGUGGAUACAUACCUGUGAAGUGCAGCAUGGAAAAUAUUCAGAUGUGUGUUGCUUAAGAAAAUCAUCAAUAUUUAAUUCCUACACAGUAAUUCCUACACAGACACAUUCAGUUAGCAGCGUCCAGAGACACAAAAGUUUUUUUUUCUUUUGUUUGCCAUGGGAUUUGGUUUAUAAUUAUCCUUAUAAUAUAACUCAUGCUGAAGGAAUUGAAUUGGUCUUUUCUCUGUUAUUUUUAAAUAUUACAUACAACCAAUCAGCAAUUAAGCAUUUUUUCUUUCUUUUACAGAUUACAACAAAAUCCUCUUUUUUCUGUCAGAACCAGAGCCAGGGCAACCAGCUGUGAGGAUUUUCUUCUAUGUAAAGGAAAUUCUAUGAAAACCAUGCUACUCCUGAAGAUGGGAUACCAAUAAAAUUGCAGAUGUGAUGUGAUACA
rnacentral:lncRNA from 1 species